rnacentral:rRNA from 1 species
UACGUAGGGGGCAAGCGUUGUCCGGAUUUAUUGGGCGUAAAGAGCGUGUAGGCGGUCAGGUAGGUCCGUUGUGAAAACUCGAGGCUCAACCUCGAGACGCCGAUGGAACACCAUCUGACUAGAGUCCGGAAGAGGAGAGUGGAAUUCCUGGUGUAGCGGUGAAAUGCGCAGAUAUCAGGAAGAACACCCGUGGCUAAGGCGGCUCUCUAGUACGGUACUGACGCUGAGGAGCGAAAGCGUGGGGAGCGAACAGG